rnacentral:rRNA from 1 species
GACGAACGCUGGCGGCGUGCUUAACACAUGCAAGUCGAACGGAAAGGCCCUGCUUUUGUGGGGUGCUCGAGUGGCGAACGGGUGAGUAACACGUGAGAACCUGCCCUUGACUUUGGGAUAACUUCAGGAAACUGGGGCUAAUACCGGAUAGGAGCUCCUGCUGCAUGGUGGGGGUUGGAAAGUUUCGGCGGUUGGGGAUGGACUCGCGGCUUAUCAGCUUGUUGGUGGGGUAGUGGCUUACCAAGGCUUUGACGGGUAGCCGGCCUGAGAGGGUGACCGGCCACAUUGGGACUGAGAUACGGCCCAGACUCCUACGGGAGGCAGCAGUCGGGAAUAUUGCACAAUGGGCGGAAGCCUGAUGCAGCAACGCCGCGUGCGGGAUGACGGCCUUCGGGUUGUAAACCGCUUUCGCCUGUGACGAAGCGUGAGUGACGGUAAUGGGUAAAGAAGCACCGGCUAACUACGUG